GACGAACGCUGGCGGCGCGCCUAACACAUGCAAGUCGAACGGAGCUUUGAGAGCUUGCUUUUUAAAGCUUAGUGGCGAACGGGUGAGUAACGCGUGAGUAACCUGCCCUGGAGUGGGGGACAACAGUUGGAAACGACUGCUAAUACCGCAUAAAGCCCACGGCCCGGUCAUCGGGGCUGUAGGGAAAAGGAUUUAUUCGCUUCAGGAUGGACUCGCGUCCAAUUAGCUAGUUGGUGAGGUAAUGGCCCACCAAGGCGACGAUUGGUAGCCGGACUGAGAGGUUGAACGGCCACAUUGGGACUGAGACACGGCCCAG
rnacentral:rRNA from 1 species